rnacentral:rRNA from 1 species
UACGUAGGGUGCGAGCGUUAAUCGGAAUUACUGGGCGUAAAGCGCACGUAGGCGGUUAGUUAAGUUGGAUGUGAAAUCCCCGGGCUCAACCUGGGAAUUGCAUUCAAAACUGGCUAACUAGAGUAUGUGAGAGGGGGGUAGAAUUCCAAGUGUAGCGGUGAAAUGCGUAGAGAUUUGGAGGAAUACCAGUGGCGAAGGCGGCCCCCUGGCACAAUACUGACGCUCAGGUGCGAAAGCGUGGGGAGCAAACAGG